rnacentral:rRNA from 1 species
GACGAACGCUGGCGGCGUGCCUAAUACAUGCAAGUAGAACGCUGAAGAGAGGAGCUUGCUCUUCUUGGAUGAGUUGCGAACGGGUGAGUAACGCGUAGGUAACCUGCCUUGUAGCGGGGGAUAACUAUUGGAAACGAUAGCUAAUACCGCAUAACAAUGGAUGACACAUGUCAUUUAUUUGAAAGGGGCAAUUGCUCCACUACAAGAUGGACCUGCGUUGUAUUAGCUAGUAGGUGAGGUAAUGGCUCACCUAGGCGACGAUACAUAGCCGACCUGAGAGGGUGAUCGGCCACACUGGGACUGAGACACGGCCCAGACUCCUACGGGAGGCAGCAGUAGGGAAUCUUCGGCAAUGGGGGCAACCCUGACCGAGCAACGCCGCGUGAGUGAAGAAGGUUUUCGGAUCGUAAAGCUCUGUUGUAAGUCAAGAACGGGUGUGAGAGUGGAAAGUUCACACUGUGACGGUAGCUUACCAGAAAGGGACGGCUAACUACGUGCCAGCAGCCGCGGUAAUACGUAUGUCCCGAGCGUUGUCCGGAUUUAUUGGGCGUAAAGCGAGCGCAGGCGGUUUGAUAAGUCUGAAGUUAAAGGCUGUGGCUCAACCAUAGUUCGCUUUGGAAACUGUCAAACUUGAGUGCAGAAGGGGAGAGUGGAAUUCCAUGUGUAGCGGUGAAAUGCGUAGAUAUAUGGAGGAACACCGGUGGCGAAAGCGGCUCUCUGGUCUGUAACUGACGCUGAGGCUCGAAAGCGUGGGGAGCGAACAGGAUUAGAUACCCUGGUAGUCCACGCCGUAAACGAUGAGUGCUAGGUGUUGGAUCCUUUCCGGGAUUCAGUGCCGCAGCUAACGCAUUAAGCACUCCGCCUGGGGAGUACGACCGCAAGGUUGAAACUCAAAGGAAUUGACGGGGGCCCGCACAAGCGGUGGAGCAUGUGGUUUAAUUCGAAGCAACGCGAAGAACCUUACCAGGUCUUGACAUCCCGAUGCUAUUUCUAGAGAUAGAAAGUUACUUCGGUACAUCGGUGACAGGUGGUGCAUGGUUGUCGUCAGCUCGUGUCGUGAGAUGUUGGGUUAAGUCCCGCAACGAGCGCAACCCCUAUUGUUAGUUGCCAUCAUUCAGUUGGGCACUCUAGCGAGACUGCCGGUAAUAAACCGGAGGAAGGUGGGGAUGACGUCAAAUCAUCAUGCCUCUUAUGACCUGGGCUACACACGUGCUACAAUGGUUGGUACAACGAGUUGCGAGUCGGUGACGGCGAGCUAAUCUCUUAAAGCCAAUCUCAGUUCGGAUUGUAGGCUGCAACUCGCCUACAUGAAGUCGGAAUCGCUAGUAAUCGCGGAUCAGCACGCCGCGGUGAAUACGUUCCCGGGCCU